CAGCCGCCACGGUAAUACGUAGGUGGCAAGCGUUGUCCGGAAUUAUUGGGCGCAAAGGGCUCGCAGGCGGUUUCUUAAGUCCGAUGUGAAAGCCCCCGGCUCAACCGGGGAGGGUCAUUGGAAACUGGGAAACUUGAGUGCAGAAGAGGAGAGUGGAAUUCCACGUGUAGCGGUGAAAUGCGUAGAGAUGUGGAGGAACACCAGUGGCGAAGGCGACUCUCUGGUCUGUAACUGACGCUGAGGAGCGAAAGCGUGGGGAGCGAACAGGAUUAGAUACCCCUGUAGUCCCUGUCUCUUAUAC
rnacentral:rRNA from 1 species